GUACACUCCUGCGGGAGGCAGCAGUGGGGAAUAUUGCACAAUGGGCGCAAGCCUGAUGCAGCCAUGCCGCGUGUAUGAAGAAGGCCUUCGGGUUGUAAAGUACUUUCAGCGGGGAGGAAGGCGAUAAGGUUAAUAACCUUGUCGAUUGACGUUACCCGCAGAAGAAGCACCGGCUAACUCCGUGCCAGCAGCCGCGGUAAUACGGAGGGUGCAAGCGUUAAUCGGAAUUACUGGGCGUAAAGCGCACGCAGGCGGUCUGUCAAGUCGGAUGUGAAAUCCCCGGGCUCAACCUGGGAACUGCAUUCGAAACUGGCAGGCUAGAGUCUUGUAGAGGGGGGUAGAAUUCCAGGUGUAGCGGUGAAAUGCGUAGAGAUCUGGAGGAAUACCGGUGGCGAAGGCGGCCCCCUGGACAAAGACUGACGCUCAGGUGCGAAAGCGUGGGGAGCAAACAGGAUUAGAUACCCCGGUAGUCCCA
rnacentral:rRNA from 1 species